rnacentral:rRNA from 1 species
CCCUUAGAUGUUCUGGGCCGCACGCGCGCUACACUGAUGCAUUCAACGAGCCUAUCCUUGACCGACAGGUCCGGGUAAUCUUUGAAUCUGCAUCGUGACGGGGAUAGAUUAUUGCAAUUAUUAAUCUUCAACGAGGAAUGCCUAGUAGGCGCAAGUCAUCAGCUUGCGUCGAUUACGUCCCUGCCCGUUGUACACACCGCCCGUCGCUCCUACCGAUUGGGUGUGCUGGUGAAAUGUUCGGAUCGGCCGUUUGUCGCGGUUUCCGCGGCUCGUGGCUGAGAAGUUCAUUAAACCCUCCCACCUAGAGGAAGGAGAAGUCGUAACA